AACGAACGCUGGCGGCAGGCCUAACACAUGCAAGUCGAGCGAAGCCUUCGGGCUUAGCGGCGGACGGGUGAGUAACGCGUGGGAACGUGCCCUUUGGUACGGAAUAGCCCCGGGAAACUGGGAGUAAUACCGUAUGUGGUCGAGAGACGAAAGAUUUAUCGCCAAAGGAUCGGCCCGCGUUGGAUUAGGUAGUUGGUGGGGUAAUGGCCUACCAAGCCGACGAUCCAUAGCUGGUUUGAGAGGAUGAUCAGCCACACUGGGACUGAGACACGGCCCAGACUCCUACGGGAGGCAGCAGUGGGGAAUCUUAGACAAUGGGGGAAACCCUAAUCUAGCCAUGCCGCGUGAUCGAUGAAGGCCUUAGGGUUGUAAAGAUCUUUCAGUGGGGAAGAUAAUGACUGUACCACCAGAAGAAGCCCCGGCUAACUCCGUGCCAGCAGCCGCAGUAAAAC
rnacentral:rRNA from 1 species